CCUACGGGCGGCAGCAGUGGGGAAUAUUGGGCAAUGGGCGCAAGCCUGAAGCAGCAACGCCGCGUGGAGGAUGAAGGUUUUCGGAUUGUAAACUCCUUUUGGUAGAGAAGAGAAUGACGGUAUCUAACGAAUAAGCACCGGCUAACGCCGUGCCAGCAGCCGCGGUAAUACGGAGGGUGCAAGCGUUACUCGGAAUCACUGGGCGUAAAGAGCGCGUAGGCGGGAUAGCAAGUCAGAUGUGAAAUCCUAUGGCUUAACCAUAGAACUGCAUUUGAAACUGUUAUUCUAGAGUAUGGGAGAGGUAGGUGGAAUUCUUGGUGUAGUGGUUAAAUCCGUAGAGAUCAAGAGGAAUACUCAUUGCGACGGCGACCUGCUAGAACAUAACUGACGCUGAUGCGCGAAAGCGUGGGGAGCAAACAGGAUUAGAUACCCCUGUAGUC
rnacentral:rRNA from 1 species